rnacentral:misc_RNA from 1 species
GAUGAAGAACGUAGCGAAAUGCGAUAAGUAAUGUGAAUUGCAGAAUUCAGUGAAUCAUCGAAUCUUUGAACGCACAUUGCGCCCGCCAGUAUUCUGGCGGGCAUGCCUGUUCGAGCGUCAUUUCAACCAUCAAGCCCCCGGCUUGUGUUGGGGACCUGCGGCUGCCGCAGGCCCUGAAAACCAGUGGCGGGCUCGCUAGUCACUCCGAGCGUAGUAAUACAUCUCGCUCAGGGCGUGCUGCGGGUUCCGGCCGUUAAAAAGCCUUAUUUACCCAAGGUUGACCUCGGAUCAGGUAGGAAGACUCGCUGAACUUAAGCAUAUCAAUAAGCGGAGGA